AUGGGAGAGGCUUUGAGAGGGGAGGCGCAGCUUGUGACCGGUCCCAGGGACUCACGUGUGGGUGUACAAAGCCUGUGCCGCACAGGAAACGAAGUCAAAGGCUCCCUUUGUCCCCACCCCCUCCCCCCCAAGAGGAGAAAAUCAGCCCCAGCGAGGAUUUUGGAGCUGGACGGGCUGGCGCGAUCCUGGAGAAUCACCCCCGAAGCCUGCGCUCUCCCAGGGAACGCUUUGCCAGGCUCUGAAGAAGCUACGCAGGCUCGGGAGGAAAAGCAGCAGCGGAAAAGCUGUAUGGAGGAAGCAGCCUCUGUAUGUUCCAGCUGAGAGAAUGCCCACACGGCCGAGACAGCAAGAGCAAUGGAGUAAUGGUCUAGGAAACAGCUGAAGUGAGCCAACCCGGGGUUGCUAUCUGCCUGCAAAGCAGCGAUAAAAGGAGCGCAAGGCCGUCUGGUUCAAUUUUUGGAGGAUCCACAGCUAUAGGGCCCAGACGUAAGCUGAAUGUGCUUCUGAGGUUGCAAAAAUUGGCUGUUUCUUUGACCAUAUUAUUCACCUGCCUAACUUACUGCUAGAAAACUGCUAAGGAAGACAUUCAGAAUUGGAAAAGGAGAAAAAGAUCUUAAGCAGCAUUGAGAGAUAUUUUAGUGGUUAAGAGGAUGACCUAGGAGUUCCCGUCGUGGCGCAGUGGUUAAUGAAUCUGACUAGUAAACCAUGAGGUUGCCGGUUCGAUCCCCGGCCUUGCUCAGUGGGCUAAGGAUCUGGCGUUGCCAUGAGCUGUGGUGUAGGUUACAGACGCACUAGGAUCCCGCAUUGCUGUGGCUACAGCUCCAAUUCGACCCCUAGCGUGGGAACUUCCAUAUGCCGUGGGAGCGGUCCAAGAAAUGGCAAAAAGACAAAGAAAAAAAAAGAGGAUGGCCUUCAUGGUUUCGACAUGGACUUAUUCUCAUGACGGUGCUGAAAGUUAGGACACAAAUGCCGUGGGGUGUGGUCCUUGCCUGCCCUGACGUAGCUUCACAAUCCUGUUGGGGGCAACAAAGCUAACACAGGCAUUUAAAACAGUGGCAAGACGGAGUUCCUGCUGGGGCGCAUCAGGAUCAGCGGCCUCUUUGGAGUCCUGGGACACAGGUUCGAUCCCUGGCCUGACACAGUCGGUUAAGGAUCCAGGGUUGCCACAGCCUCCUGGUGUAGGUUACAACUGUGUCUCAGAUCUGAUCCCUGUCCCAGGAACUCUAUAUGCCAUGGAGCUGCAAAAAAUAAAUGAAUAUGUAAAUAAAUGAAACA
rnacentral:lncRNA from 1 species